ACAUCUAGUGGUUGAAAAUCCGACUACUUGAAAAAUGUAGUCAUCCUUAAUUCCUACGUGUUAUGGAAGUGAGUGGGUUUACACGUUGUUACGUUCCCUACAUUUUGUAUUUCAAAGGAUACUUCAACAACAAAUUAAAGUUUACUUUGUCAUCAUCUAAGCAAGUUAGUAACCAGAUGAUUUUUGGCAUAAGCUAUGUCUGCCACUUGUCAUCAUGCUAUUGCCCAGUGAGAGUACUAUGCAGUGAGGGUACUAGGCAUCAUACUUUCAUUGCUAUCAAGGUCAUCAUCCCAAAUGCACAAGCAUAUUCAUAUAUGUUGGGAAACAUCCACUUUUCCAUCAUCAAACAGUCAAACAUUCCAUGACGAAACAUCAUCAAACAUCUACCAAUCCAUCAGUCUUUUAGAAGCUGGGUUCUCACCAUUACUUAGCCAGCUAUAAAUUUGCACAGGCUUUGAGACCAUCUUUUGGACUGCAAAUAUUAAUCUUCCUUCUGUGAAGCACUGCUAUUUCGACAAUUUCUACCGUUUCGUCUCAGUGAACCACAUGCAACUAUAUCGCUCUCCUCAUCGCUAUCUUUAUCUACGCUGUCGCCUUCACCUCAUCGCUAUCUUUAUCUACGCUGUCGCCUUCACCUCAUCGCUUUCUUCAUAUACUCUGUCGCCUUCGCCUAAUCGCUCUUUUCAUCUACCCUGUCACCUUUGCUUCAUCGCUUGCUGCUGUCUUCAUCUAUGCUUUCACAUUCGGUUUCGCCUAAUCGCAGUCUUCAUUCAUUGCCAUCUACGAUCCAUCUAUCCAAAACAUCCAUUUCCUAGUAACACGGAAAAGGUGGCAAAAAAGGGUGCAUCUCAGCAGACAGCCUACGGCGAUAGAGGGAAAUCACCGUGGAACGUCGCUCUGGUAUUGUUUUGUUUUGCAUUGUAGUGUGUAAGUUAACCCGUUGGCUGCCACCCCGUUUGUGUCCCAUUUUUU